UGCCAGCCGCCGCGGUAAUACGAAGGGUGCUAGCGUUGCUCGGAAUUACUGGGCGUAAAGAGCAUGUAGGCGGAUGAAUUAGUCAGAGGUGAAAGCCCCGAGCUCAACUUGGGAACUGCCUUUGAUACUGUUUAUCUAGAGUCCGAGAGAGGUUAGUGGAAUUCCCAGUGUAGAGGUGAAAUUCGUAGAUAUUGGGAAGAACACCAGUGGCGAAGGCGGCUAACUGGCUCGGUACUGACGCUGUAGUACAAAAGCAUGGGUAGUGAACUGGAUUAGAUA
rnacentral:rRNA from 1 species